AAUGUACGCUGGCGGCAUGCCUAACACAUGCAAGUCGAACGAAGGCUUCGGCCUUAGUGGCGCACGGGUGCGUAACGCGUGGGAAUCUGCCCUCAGGUUCGGAAUAACAGCGAGAAAUUGCUGCUAAUACCGGAUGAUAUCGCGAGAUCAAAGAUUUAUCGCCUGAGGAUGAGCCCGCGUAGGAUUAGCUAGUUGGUGUGGUAAAGGCGCACCAAGGCGACGAUCCUUAGCUGGUCUGAGAGGAUGAUCAGCCACACUGGGACUGAGACACGGCCCAGACUCCUACGGGAGGCAGCAGCGGGGAAUAUUGGACAAUGGGCGAAAGCCUGAUCCAGCAAUGCCGCGUGAGUGAUGAAGGCCUUAGGGUUGUAAAGCUCUUUUACCCGGGAUGAUGAUGACAGUACCGGGAGAAUAAGCUCCGGCUAACUCCGUGCCAGCCGCCGCCGUAA
rnacentral:rRNA from 1 species